rnacentral:rRNA from 1 species
AUACAUGCAAGUCGAGCGGACAGAUGGGAGCUUGCUCCCUGAUGUUAGCGGCGGACGGGUGAGUAACACGUGGGUAACCUGCCUGUAAGACUGGGAUAACUCCGGGAAACCGGGGCUAAUACCGGAUGGUUGUUUGAACCGCAUGGUUCAAACAUAAAAGGUGGCUUCGGACCACUUACAGAUGGACCCGCGGCGCAUUAGCUAGUUGGUGAGGUAACGGCUCACCAAGGCAACGAUGCGUAGCCGACCUGAGAGGGUGAUCGGCCACACUGGGACUGAGACACGGCCCAGACUCCUACGGGAGGCAGCAGUAGGGAAUCUUCCGCAAUGGACGAAAGUCUGACGGAGCAACGCCGCGUGAGUGAUGAAGGUUUUCGGAUCGUACUCUGUUGUUAGGGAAGAACAAGUACCGUUCGAAUAGGGCGGUACCUUGACGGUACCUAACCAGAAAGCCACGGCUAACUACGUGCCAGCAGCCGCGGUAAUACGUAGGUGGCAAGGUGAUGUGCUGCUUUUUCUGCGUUAAGGGCUCGCAGGCGGUUUCUUAAGUCUGAUGUGAAAGCCCCCGGCUCAACCGGGGAGGGUCAUUGGAAACUGGGGAACUUGAGUGCAGAAGAGGAGAGUGGAAUUCCACGUGUAGCGGUGAAAUGCGUAGAGAUGUGGAGGAACACCAGUGGCGAAGGCGACUCUCUGGUCUGUAACUGACGCUGAGGAGCGAAAGCGUGGGGAGCGAACAGGAUUAGAUACCCUGGUAGUCCACGCCGUAAACGAUGAGUGCUAAGUGUUAGGGGGUUUCCGCCCCUUAGUGCUGCAGCUAACGCAUUAAGCACUCCGCCUGGGGAGUACGGUCGCAAGACUGAAACUCAAAGGAAUUGACGGGGGCCC